rnacentral:lncRNA from 1 species
AGGUGGAGUCUCGCUCUGUCGCCCAGGCUGGGGUGGAGUGACGCGAUCUCGGCUCACCGCAAGCUCCGCCUCCCGGGUUCACGCCAUUCUCCUGUCUCAGCCUCCCCAGUAGCUGGGACUACAGGCGUCCACCACCACGCCCGGCUAAUUUUUUGUACUUUUAGUAGAGACGGGUUUCACCGUGUCAGCCAGGAUGGUCUCGAUCUCCUGACCUCGUGAUCUGCCCGCCUCAGCCUCCCUAUAUGUUUUAAAAUAUAAAUUUAUUCUUAUAAAAAUAAAUUUAAACUAGAUUGAGGUAGUAAUUACAACAGUCCAGCACAUUAUGGAUAAUUAAUAUUUAUAUUUAUUUGGCUGGUUUUUCUUUUAUAGUAAACUUUAUGCCUUAAUGAACAUUUAUCAGUAUGACUCACUUCAUUCAGUCAUUGAAUAACUAUUUAUUGAGGCUGUAUACUGUGCUAGGUAGGCAUGGAACUACAUGCAUGAUCAAAAUGAGACAGAUUCCUAACAUCACUGAGAUUAUACACAGCAGGGGAAAGAAAAUAUUCAAACUUCAAAUAGUUUCUUCAUCCAAAAAAUUUAUUAUUAGUACCUCCUUGUCAACAUAUGGUAUAUGUUGUGAGUGCAGAAACUUAGGGUUUAUCAAUAACAUGAAGAAAUUUCUACCUAUUAUUUUCACAUCCAUCCCAAAUACCUAGUAUUUAAGUUUUAUUUUUACUUAUGUAGUUAGUAUAUAAGUAAACAUUAAUUAAAUCGUAUUAUGCCAUAGACUUAUAGGUUCAUAGUAAUUACACACAGUGCAUGAUUACCUGCCAAAAAGAAAAUGUUUUCUUAAUUUGGUGUCGUUAACUUUACCUCAUGAUGACCAAUAGGUGGAGCUAUUUCCAUUUUUUCCCUCAGCCUUUUGGCUUGAAUUUGAGGUAGAUAAGAAAGCCAAGUAAGAUGAACUAUAGAAUGUCUUAUAUACCUAAGAAUAUUUAGCUAUGAAGGUUUUCUGAAGCUCUUAAGACAUACAUACUAUAUUGUACUAUACCAGAAGCCCUUAUAAACCAUCUCGUUUUUUUCAUUGAAAAAAUAUUCCAGCUUCAACUUCAAAUGCCUAAAAAUAUAUCAAAAUCUUCAGGCAAACAAUUUUAAGUACUAAUUAAUAUCAUGUAGUUAAAAAUUAGCAUCCAAAAUUAAAAUGAUGUUUCUCACUAAUUUAAAAAAAAAUUCUGCAGUAGAUUCCAAAGAGUAAAAAGACCCAAGUCUCAAAUCUCCCUGGUAAAAUUAAAGUUAUCUCCAAUUUCCUUCCCUUAAGAAAGCAUAGAUAAAGAGUGAAAUCAGAAUUGUUCUUAUUGUGGAUGUAAUUCAGAAAUCUUCUGCCUUUGUUUCCACAGUACAAAAUAAGGGUAUUAGAGAGCAUCUCAAAAAUCCCUUUCAGGGUUAACAUUUUGUAUUACUACAAUACCUUCUUUCUCCUUCA